rnacentral:rRNA from 1 species
GGUUAAGCGACUAAGCGUACACGGUGGAUGCCCUGGCAGUCAGAGGCGAUGAAGGACGUGCUAAUCUGCGAUAAGCGCCGGUAAGGUGAUAUGAACCGUUAUAACCGGCGAUUUCCGAAUGGGGAAACCCAGUGUGAUUCGUCACACUAUCAUUAACUGAAUCCAUAGGUUAAUGAGGCGAACCGGGGGAACUGAAACAUCUAAGUACCCCGAGGAAAAGAAAUCAACCGAGAUUCCCCCAGUAGCGGCGAGCGAACGGGGAGGAGCCCAGAGCCUGAAUCAGCAUGUGUGUUAGUGGAAGCGUCUGGAAAGGCGCGCGAUACAGGGUGACAGCCCCGUACACAAAAGCGCAUGUGCUGUGAGCUCGAUGAGUAGGGCGGGACACGUGGUAUCCUGUCUGAAUAUGGGGGGACCAUCCUCCAAGGCUAAAUACUCCUGACUGACCGAUAGUGAACCAGUACCGUGAGGGAAAGGCGAAAAGAACCCCGGCGAGGGGAGUGAAAAAGAACCUGAAACCGUGUACGUACAAGCAGUGGGAGCACCCUUCGGGGUGUGACUGCGUACCUUUUGUAUAAUGGGUCAGCGACUUAUAUUCUGUAGCAAGGUUAACCGUAUAGGGGAGCCGGAGGGAAACCGAGUCUUAACCGGGCGUUAAGUUGCAGGGUAUAGACCCGAAACCCGGUGAUCUAGCCAUGGGCAGGUUGAAGGUUGGGUAACACUAACUGGAGGACCGAACCGACUAAUGUUGAAAAAUUAGCGGAUGACCUGUGGCUGGGGGUGAAAGGCCAAUCAAACCGGGAGAUAGCUGGUUCUCCCCGAAAGCUAUUUAGGUAGCGCCUCGUGAAUUCAUCUCCGGGGGUAGAGCACUGUUUCGGCUAGGGGGCCAUCCCGGCUUACCAACCCGAUGCAAACUGCGAAUACCGGAGAAUGUUAUCACGGGAGACACACGGCGGGUGCUAACGUCCGUCGUGAAGAGGGAAACAACCCAGACCGCCAGCUAAGGUCCCAAAGUCAUGGUUAAGUGGGAAACGAUGUGGGAAGGCCCAGACAGCCAGGAUGUUGGCUUAGAAGCAGCCAUCAUUUAAAGAAAGCGUAAUAGCUCACUGGUCGAGUCGGCCUGCGCGGAAGAUGUAACGGGGCUAAACCAUGCACCGAAGCUGCGGCAGCGAACGUAUCACCCAAGACAACUUUACGGAGUUGACGAUUGACGGAGCGAAGCGACGUCAAAGCGUUCAUUAAAGUCGAGUUGGCUUAGGGAUACGUUCGUUGGGUAGGGGAGCGUUCUGUAAGCCUGUGAAGGUGUGUCGUGAGGCAUGCUGGAGGUAUCAGAAGUGCGAAUGCUGACAUAAGUAACGAUAAAGCGGGUGAAAAGCCCGCUCGCCGGAAGACCAAGGGUUCCUGUCCAACGUUAAUCGGGGCAGGGUGAGUCGACCCCUAAGGCGAGGCCGAAAGGCGUAGUCGAUGGGAAACGGGUUAAUAUUCCCGUACUUGGUGUUACUGCGAAGGGGGGACGGAGAAGGCUAUGUUGGCCGGGCGACGGUUGUCCCGGUUUAAGCGUGUAGGUGUGUGUUCCAGGUAAAUCCGGUUCACUUUAACACUGAGGCGUGACGACGAGGCACUACGGUGCUGAAGCAACAAAUGCCCUGCUUCCAGGAAAAGCCUCUAAGCAUCAGGUAACAUCAAAUCGUACCCCAAACCGACACAGGUGGUCAGGUAGAGAAUACCAAGGCGCUUGAGAGAACUCGGGUGAAGGAACUAGGCAAAAUGGUGCCGUAACUUCGGGAGAAGGCACGCUGACACGUAGGUGAAGUGAUUUACUCAUGGAGCUGAAGUCAGUCGAAGAUACCAGCUGGCUGCAACUGUUUAUUAAAAACACAGCACUGUGCAAACACGAAAGUGGACGUAUACGGUGUGACGCCUGCCCGGUGCCGGAAGGUUAAUUGAUGGGGUCAGCGCAAGCGAAGCUCCUGAUCGAAGCCCCGGUAAACGGCGGCCGUAACUAUAACGGUCCUAAGGUAGCGAAAUUCCUUGUCGGGUAAGUUCCGACCUGCACGAAUGGCGUAAUGAUGGCCAGGCUGUCUCCACCCGAGACUCAGUGAAAUUGAACUCGCUGUGAAGAUGCAGUGUACCCGCGGCAAGACGGAAAGACCCCGUGAACCUUUACUAUAGCUUGACACUGAACAUUGAGCCUUGAUGUGUAGGAUAGGUGGGAGGCUUUGAAGUGUGGACGCCAGUCUGCAUGGAGCCGACCUUGAAAUACCACCCUUUAAUGUUUGAUGUUCUAACGUGGACCCGUAAUCCGGGUUGCGGACAGUGUCUGGUGGGUAGUUUGACUGGGGCGGUCUCCUCCUAAAGAGUAACGGAGGAGCACGAAGGUUGGCUAAUCCUGGUCGGACAUCAGGAGGUUAGUGCAAUGGCAUAAGCCAGCUUGACUGCGAGCGUGACGGCGCGAGCAGGUGCGAAAGCAGGUCAUAGUGAUCCGGUGGUUCUGAAUGGAAGGGCCAUCGCUCAACGGAUAAAAGGUACUCCGGGGAUAACAGGCUGAUACCGCCCAAGAGUUCAUAUCGACGGCGGUGUUUGGCACCUCGAUGUCGGCUCAUCACAUCCUGGGGCUGAAGUAGGUCCCAAGGGUAUGGCUGUUCGCCAUUUAAAGUGGUACGCGAGCUGGGUUUAGAACGUCGUGAGACAGUUCGGUCCCUAUCUGCCGUGGGCGCUGGAGAACUGAGGGGGGCUGCUCCUAGUACGAGAGGACCGGAGUGGACGCAUCACUGGUGUUCGGGUUGUCAUGCCAAUGGCACUGCCCGGUAGCUAAAUGCGGAAGAGAUAAGUGCUGAAAGCAUCUAAGCACGAAACUUGCCCCGAGAUGAGUUCUCCCUGAGACUUAGAGUCUCCUGAAGGAACGUUGAAGACGACGACGUUGAUAGGCCGGGUGUGUAAGCGCAGCGAUGCGUUGAGCUAACCGGUACUAAUGAACCGUGAGGCUUAACCUU